GGGAGAGCACCUAGCUCAGCUGGGAGAGCACCUGCCUUACAAGCAGGGGGUCGGCGGUUCGAUCCCGUCAUCCUCCACCA
rnacentral:tRNA from 1 species